AACGUAGGAGGCAAGCGUUAUCCGGAUUUACUGGGCGUAAAGCGCGUGCAGGCGGCACGGCAAGUUGGAUGUGAAAGCUCCCGGCUCAACUGGGAGAGGUCGUUCAAGACUGCCGAGCUCGAGGCUGGUAGAGGGAGGUGGAAUUCCGGGUGUAGUGGUGAAAUGCGUAGAUAUCCGGAGGAACACCAGUGGCGAAAGCGGCCUUCUGGACCAGACCUGACGCUCAGACGCGAAAGCUAGGGUAGCAAACGGG
rnacentral:rRNA from 1 species